rnacentral:rRNA from 1 species
CAGGCUUAACACAUGCAAGUCGAGGGGCAUCAGGAAGAAAGCUUGCUUUCUUUGCUGGCGACCGGCGCACGGGUGAGUAACACGUAUCCAACCUGCCCUUUACUCGGGGAUAGCCUUUCGAAAGAAAGAUUAAUACCCGAUGGCAUAAUGAUUCCGCAUGGUUUCAUUAUUAAAGGAUUCCGGUAAAGGAUGGGGAUGCGUUCCAUUAGGUUGUUGGUGAGGUAACGGCUCACCAAGCCUUCGAUGGAUAGGGGUUCUGAGAGGAAGGUCCCCCACAUUGGAACUGAGACACGGUCCAAACUCCUACGGGAGGCAGCAGUGAGGAAUAUUGGUCAAUGGGCGCUAGCCUGAACCAGCCAAGUAGCGUGAAGGAUGAAGGCUCUAUGGGUCGUAAACUUCUUUUAUAUAAGAAUAAAGUGCAGUAUGUAUACUGUUUUGUAUGUAUUAUAUGAAUAAGGAUCGGCUAACUCCGUGCCAGCAGCCGCGGUAAUACGGAGGAUCCGCGCGUUAUCCGGAUUUAUUGGGUUUAAAGGGAGCGUAGGUGGACUGGUAAGUCAGUUGUGAAAGUUUGCGGCUCAACCGUAAAAUUGCAGUUGAUACUGUCAGUCUUGAGUACAGUAGAGGUGGGCGGAAUUCGUGGUGUAGCGGUGAAAUGCUUAGAUAUCACGAAGAACUCCGAUUGCGAAGGCAGCUCACUGGACUGCAACUGACACUGAUGCUCGAAAGUGUGGGUAUCAAACAGGAUUAGAUACCCUGGUAGUCCACACAGUAAACGAUGAAUACUCGCUGUUUGCGAUAUACAGUAAGCGGCCAAGCGAAAGCAUUAAGUAUUCCACCUGGGGAGUACGCCGGCAACGGUGAAACUCAAAGGAAUUGACGGGGGCCCGCACAAGCGGAGGAACAUGUGGUUUAAUUCGAUGAUACGCGAGGAACCUUACCCGGGCUUAAAUUGCAGUGGAAUGAUGUGGAAACAUGUCAGUGAGCAAUCACCGCUGUGAAGGUGCUGCAUGGUUGUCGUCAGCUCGUGCCGUGAGGUGUCGGCUUAAGUGCCAUAACGAGCGCAACCCUUAUCUUUAGUUACUAACAGGUUAUGCUGAGGACUCUAGAGAGACUGCCGUCGUAAGAUGUGAGGAAGGUGGGGAUGACGUCAAAUCAGCACGGCCCUUACGUCCGGGGCUACACACGUGUUACAAUGGGGGGUACAGAAGGCAGCUAGCGGGUGACCGUAUGCUAAUCCCAAAAGCCUCUCUCAGUUCGGAUCGAAGUCUGCAACCCGACUUCGUGAAGCUGGAUUCGCUAGUAAUCGCGCAUCAGCCACGGCGCGGUGAAUACGUUCCCGGGCCUUGUACACACCGCCCGUCAAGCCAUGGGAGCCGGGGGUACCUGAAGUACGUAACCGCAAGGAUCGUCCUAGGGUAAAACUGGUGACUGGGGCUAA